UGUUGUGUUGCAGCUGCUACUGAUAGUGAAAAUGUUUCUUCGUUCAACCUUGUGGACCCAGACCUCGCCACCCGACUCGCGGCCUUUCUUCAGGCUCUCCAUCUUCUGCUCGCUGUUCCUCGUGCUUAACCUGACCCUGGUCUACCAUCUGUUCAGCCACGGAGCAGAUGAAAAGGCAACUAAAGUAGUCUCCAAGCAAAUAGUGAUUCAAGAAUUUUUGGAGGUGACACGGCCAGCUAAAAGAUCUUCUAAAGAUGUUUUGACACCUGCCAUUAUAAAAAACAAUUCUGCCUCUCAAUUGUCGGAAAUAAAAUCCAAGAGAAUCUAUAAUGCAUCUUUACAUAGAACCACGCCAAAUAAAGCGACAUAACUGCCGUAGGAGAGGUGAUUUAAAAUUGAUAAAAUUCUAGCGAAUGUGUUGGUUUCAAAAUAAA